AACGAACGCUGGCGGCAUGCCUAACACAUGCAAGUCGAACGAGACCUUCGGGCCUAUUGGCGCACGGGUGCGGACCGCGGGGGGGCCUGCCCUUAGGUUCGGUAUACCUCAGAGAAAUUUGAGCUCAUACAGCAUGAUGUCUUCGGACCAACGAUUUAUCGCCUUUGGGUGGGCCCGCGUUGGUUUCGCGGGUUGGUGGUGUACAGGCCUACCAAGGCGACGAUCCAUAGCUGGUCGGAGAGGAGGAUCAGCCACACUGGGACUGAGACACGGCCCAGACUCGGACGGGACGGAGCAGUGUGGAAUAUUGGAGGAGGGGCGAAAGCCUGAUCUAGCAACGCCGGGGGAGUGGGGAAGGGGGUAGGGUUGUAAAGCUGUUUUACCCGAGAUGAGAAUGACGGUAACGGGAGAAGAAGCACCGGCUAACUCCGUG
rnacentral:rRNA from 1 species